CAACUUUGAACGGGUGG
rnacentral:rRNA from 1 species